GGAUGUGAGGGCGAUCUGGCUGCGACAUCUGUCACCCCAGUGAUCGCCAGGGUUGAUUCGGCUGAUCUGGCUGGGUGUCAGGCGGGUGUCCCCUUCCUCCCUCACCACUCCAUAUGCGUCCCUCCUGAAGCUGCACACUCGGUCGAAGAGGACGGCCUUCCCCUUCCCCGAGUAGAGACAGACCGGUCUUCGGUUGAGGGCAUAAGAGUAGCUGCGCUCCCCUGCUAGAACCUCUAAACAAGCUCUCAAAAAAGGCCCCAAAAGCCACCUGUAGACCUCUAUUUUGUGAACCUUGAAUUCUUUUAAUAAAAAUUUAAAGUCUAAGUCUUAAAGU
rnacentral:snRNA from 1 species